ensembl:miRNA
GGCUGGGGUGCAGCUCAGUGGGAGAGCACCUGCUUCAUCCCCAGCUACAUUUCCAGGGCC